GAUGAACGCUGGCGGCGUGCCUAAUACAUGCAAGUCGAGCGAACAGACGAGGAGCUUGCUCCUCUGACGUUAGCGGCGGACGGGUGCGUAACACGUGGAUAACCUACCUAUAAGACUGGGAUAACUUCGGGAAACCGGAGCUAAUACCGGAUAAUAUAUUGAACCGCAUGGUUCAAUAGUGAAAGACGGUUUUGCUGUCACUUAUAGAUGGAUCCGCGCCGCAUUAGCUAGUUGGUAAGGUAACGGCUUACCAAGGCAACGAUGCGUAGCCGACCUGAGAGGGUGAUCGGCCACACUGGAACUGAGACACGGUCCAGACUCCUACGGGAGGCAGCAGUAGGGAAUCUUCCGCAAUGGGCGAAAGCCUGACGGAGCAACGCCGCGUGAGUGAUGAAGGUCUUCGGAUCGUAAAACUCUGUUAUUAGGGAAGAACAAAUGUGUAAGUAACUAUGCACGUCUUGACGGUACCUAAUCAGAAAGCCACGGCUAACUACGUG
rnacentral:rRNA from 1 species